ACAGCAUCCCAUAUCGUGCUCUUGUAAUCACAGCCACCAAAAGGUACACUGCAUGAGCAAGUUUGCCCACUGUUUAUGCAGACUCCCAUGUCUGUGGAUUGAGUCCUGAGAGGCUGUAGAAGAAAAGAGAAUUAAAGGGGAGCUGAAGUGCUGAAAACUGGCCAUGGUUCUCACACCAUCCUGCCAUCCCUGAUGGUCAUCAUCCAACAUAUCAGCAGUCUGGCUGGGGAGAGUGGGGCUGUCCCAGGUAAAUCCACGACAAGAGUUGAUUGUUAUUCUGAGUGAAGAAUCUCAGUCUCCAGGGUUGUUUUGGAAUAAAUUUAUGAUGCUCAGCUGAGAUAUGUUUGGUGAGA